rnacentral:rRNA from 1 species
CACGGGAGGCAGCAGUGGGGAAUAUUGGACAAUGGGCGAAAGCCUGAUCCAGCCAUGCCGCGUGUGUGAAGAAGGCCUUCGGGUUGUAAAGCACUUUCAGUGGGGAAGAAAGCCUUGGGGCUAAUACCCUCGAGGAAGGACAUCACCCACAGAAGAAGCACCGGCUAACUCCGUGCCAGCAGCCGCGGUAAUACGGAGGGUGCGAGCGUUAAUCGGAAUUACUGGGCGUAAAGCGCGCGUAGGCGGUCUGAUAAGCCGGUUGUGAAAGCCCCGGGCUCAACCUGGGAACGGCAUCCGGAACUGUCAGGCUAGAGUGCAGGAGAGGAAGGUAGAAUUCCCGGUGUAGCGGUGAAAUGCGUAGAGAUCGGGAGGAAUACCAGUGGCGAAGGCGGCCUUCUGGACUGACACUGACGCUGAGGUGCGAAAGCGUGGGUAGCAAACAGGAUUAGAUACCCCGGUAGUC